UUUUAAAACCUUAGGUAGUAAUAGUUAUGUUCUUGAAACUUAAAAAAUUUGGCGGUAUUUUAGUCUAUUCAGAGGAACCUGUUUUAUAAUCGAUAAUCCACGGUGGACCUUACUUAAAUUUGUAAUCAGCUUAUAUAUCGUCGUUAUUAGAAUAUUUUAUUAGAAAGUUAAUUUUCAAAAUUUUAUAAGAGAAAAUAUAUCAGAUCAAGGUGUAGCUUAUGUUUAAGUAAAAAUGGGUUACAAUAAAAAUAUUUAUAUGAAUAUAAAUUUGAAAUGUUUAUUGAAGGUGGAUUUGAUAGUAAAAUUAUAAAGAUUAAUAAUUUGAUUUUAGCUCUAAAAUAUGC
rnacentral:rRNA from 1 species